UACGAGUGCCUCGAGCGUUAUCCGGAAUCAUUGGGCGUAAAGGGUGAGUAGGCGGCGAUGUUAGUCUCCCGUAAAAUCUUUCGGCUCAACCGAGAGUCCGCGGGAGAUACGGCAUUGCUAGAGGAUGGUAGGGGUCUCUGGAACUCAUGGUGUAGCGGUGAAAUGCGUUGAUAUCAUGGGGAACACCAAAAGCGAAGGCAAGAGACUGGACCACUCCUGACGCUGAAGCACGAAAGCGUGGGUCGCGAAUGGG
rnacentral:rRNA from 1 species